UCUAGUACCUAAAUAUUCCAAAAGAAGAGUUUUAUGCUUAAAACAUCUAAAAGGUCAUUUAUUUCCCCUUUAUCUACAUUAUACAUAAUACCAUGUUCAUAUAGGCUUGUGGAUACAAUCUUUUAUCUAUGGAUUUGCUUACAUCAUUAUUUCUCUCAGUCUCUGUUAGGGCGGUCAUUUGAAUAACAACAGAUUGGCAAGUAUAAAACUAAGGCACCUGUUGUACAUUUGGCAGCCUGGCAUCUGGGAAACAGCAAAUACUUUAGUAUGGCUCAAGUGUGUGUGUGUUAGGGAUGGAAGGAGUGGGGAAGAGAAAAUGAAUGUGAGUAUGGCAAGGUGGCAAGAGACAAAGCAGAGGAAAGGACAUCAAAGGCCAGGUGCCUUUUGGUAAGAAAUAUUUCAUGCUUUUUACAGACAGGAACAGGGAGCCACUGAAAUAUUUGAAAGCAAGGAAUGACUUGAUCAGAUUUGAGUUUCUUAAAGAUCAUGCUGGCUGCAGAGCACAGAAGCAACUACGGUGAGGUCAAAACCAAACACAAGGAGACUGCAACCCAAGCAUGAGAAGAUGGGGGACUUUCAACAGAUGAUACCUAAUAACAUGAAAAGACAGUGAAUAAUUUGGUGGAAAGGAAGUUAGUAUCUAUUUUGGUAUCCUCGAUAUAAUACAAGUGUAACUGAGAGAAAACAGAUUUUGAAUGAUAAAAUUCAAAAUUGAAAUUAAUAUUUUCCUAAAAUUGUUUUUUUUUUUGGUACAUAUAAAUCAAAUUCAGGUCGAGUCUGUUAAAUAGUAAAAGUUGGAUUAAAAUAAACAUAAGCAAUCCUUUCUUAAAUCAGUAACUGAAUAUACAUAACAGUAUUUAUUAAACUUAUCAUUCUUAAUUUAUAAGUAUUAUUUUAAAAUGUGUAUUGAUAACCUAACUAUAAAAAAACCCUUGCUACAUAUUACCUAAAAAAGUACACCCAGCUUCAUGCUUCUAGGAAGUUAUGUUUAUAGAUUAACUGGUAGAAAAACAUAUGGCUAAAUAGGCCAGUGUAUGCAUGUGAGAAGCAUUUUAGAAAUCCGGGCAAAGAAGACUUAAUUGUUCAGAUAUGAUGAAAGCCAUAAAAGACCAAGUAAUUUUCCAUGUAACUUUAUUUUAUGUAUCAUGUCUGAUUUAAAACUUCGGGGUACCUUCUUGUCAGAG
rnacentral:lncRNA from 1 species